UCGAGCGAGUCUGCCUUGAAGAUCGGAGUGCUUGCACUCUGUGAAACAAGAUACAGGCUAGCGGCGGACGGGUGAGUAACACGUGGGUAACCUGCCCAAGAGAUCGGGAUAACACCUGGAAACAGAUGCUAAUACCGGAUACAACAGAUGAUGCCUAUCAACUGUUUAAAAGAUGGUUCUGCUAUCACUCUUGGAUGGACCUGCGGUGCAUUAGCUAGUUGGUAGGGUAACGGCCUACCAAGGCGAUGAUGCAUAGCCGAGUUGAGAGACUGAUCGGCCACAUUGGGACUGAGACACGGCCCAAACUCCUACGGGAGGCAGCAGUAGGGAAUCUUCCACAAUGGACGCAAGUCUGAUGGAGCAACGCCGCGUGAGUGAAGAAGGGUUUCGGCUCGUAAAGCUCUGUUGUUGGUGAAGAAGGACAGGGGUAGUAACUGACCUUUGUUUGACGGUAAUCAAUUAGAAAGUCACGGCUAACUACGUGCCAGCAGCCGCGGUAAUACGUAGGUGGCAAGCGUUGUCCGGAUUUAUUGGGCGUAAAGCGAGUGCAGGCGGCUCGAUAAGUCUGAUGUGAAAGCCUUCGGCUCAACCGGAGAAUUGCAUCAGAAACUGUCGAGCUUGAGUACAGAAGAGGAGAGUGGAACUCCAUGUGUAGCGGUGAAAUGCGUAGAUAUAUGGAAGAACACCGGUGGCGAAGGCGGCUCUCUGGUCUGUUACUGACGCUGAGGCUCGAAAGCAUGGGUAGCGAACAGGAUUAGAUACCCUGGUAGUCCAUGCCGUAAACGAUGAGUGCUAAGUGUUGGGAGGUUUCCGCCUCUCAGUGCUGCAGCUAACGCAU
rnacentral:rRNA from 1 species